rnacentral:lncRNA from 1 species
AUGCUCCCCUUCACACCUUUUGGAAUGCCUUGAAGAGUGCAACACGCUCCACAUGUUUUCUUUCAGCAUUUGUUGGGAUUUAUCAGGUGAUUUGUUCGUGCUAUAUUCCUGAUUCCAAUCUUGGUUUUUCGAUUUUUUGCGACUGUGCAAUAUACACAAGGGGUUAAUAAACCUACGUUUGCCAAUCUGCACAAGAUGUUUUCAUUUGCAACGUUCUUGCCCGAAAAAUUGAUUCAUCAAAUAAUCGUAUGAGUUGGAGAAGAGUAGGAGAUUUCUAUUUAUGGCUUCUUCCUUGGCUUACGCAAUACAGUUCUGCGGGUGCUCAAAAUAGCUUCAAAGGUUUUUGACUUGAACGAUUUUCGCGUUGGGAUUUGUCUGCAGGGUGUAAUUUGUCUUCAGCGGAAAGUGGCCACGAGGGAUCACAAGCUAGUGUACUUCUUUGCUGGAGCUAUUGCAGCUUUGUCUGCAUUGAUUGAAAAGAAAAACCGCCGUUCAGAGCUUGCCCUUUACACCCUGCCUCGUGCUGGUGACUCUCUUUGGUACAUCUUGGUAAAUCGUCAUGUUUUGCCUAACAUCAAGCAUGCGGAAGUGAGUAUUGGUUCUAACUCUUCAUCUACAUGUUGAGCUAGUCUCAAGUUGAUUUAAUCAGAAGUGGGCUUGGAGUUUCAGGUUAAUCAGUAUUAUUAUGCUCUAUAAGACUUAAAACUUAUGAGAUGGACGACAAGGGAAGCUAAUGUUGAUUACUAGUUGCUAAUUCUUUCUUCCUUGAUCUUGGAUCUGUGCAGGUAGCACUGUUCUGCCUGUGCAUGGGUUGCAUCAUGUACUUUCACGAAUACGAGCCUGACACGAUGGCACCCUUCCUGAGGGGUCUACUUACACGGUUCCUUAACCGUACAGGUACACCUGCCAUGCACUCGUCGACGUCCUAUUCUUACUUGCCUGCACUUGCGUCUUCUGAUGACC